CGGACGGGUGAGUAACACGUGGAUAACCUACCUAUAAGACUGGGAUAACUUCGGGAAACCGGAGCUAAUACCGGAUAAGAUUUUGAACCGCAUGGUUCAAUAGUGAAAGACGGCCUUGCUGUCACUUAUAGAUGGAUCCGCGCCGUAUUAGCUAGUUGGUAAGGUAACGGCUUACCAAGGCAACGAUACGUAGCCGACCUGAGAGGGUGAUCGGCCACACUGGAACUGAGACACGGUCCAGACUCCUACGGGAGGCAGCAGUAGGGAAUCUUCCGCAAUGGGCGAAAGCCUGACGGAGCAACGCCGCGUGAGUGAUGAAGGUCUUCGGAUCGUAAAACUCUGUUAUCAGGGAAGAACAAACGUGUAAGUAACUGUGCACGUCUUGACGGUACCUGAUCAGAAAGCCACGGCUAACUACGUGCCAGCAGCCGCGGUAAUACGUAGGUGGCAAGCGUUAUCCGGAAUUAUUGGGCGUAAAGCGCGCGUAGGCGGUUUUUUAAGUCUGAUGUGAAAGCCCACGGCUCAACCGUGGAGGGUCAUUGGAAACUGGAAAACUUGAGUGCAGAAGAGGAAAGUGGAAUUCCAUGUGUAGCGGUGAAAUGCGCAGAGAUAUGGAGGAACACCAGUGGCGAAGGCGACUUUCUGGUCUGUAACUGACGCUGAUGUGCGAAAGCGUGGGGAUCAAACAGGAUUAGAUACCCUGGUAGUCCACGCCGUAAACGAUGAGUGCUAAGUGUUAGGGGGUUUCC
rnacentral:rRNA from 1 species